rnacentral:rRNA from 1 species
ACGGGGUGCAGCAGGCGCGAAAACUUUGCAAUGCGCGCAAGCGUGACAAGGGGACCCCAAGUGCGCACGUACAACGUGUGCUUUUACGGAGUGUAAAAAGCUUCGGGAAUAAGGGCUGGGUAAGACUGGUGCCAGCCUCCGCGGUAACACCAGCAGCUCAAGUGGUGAUCGCGUUUACUGGGUUUAAAGCGUGCGUAGUCGGUUCGGCAAGUUUUCUGUGAAAUCCUACGGCUUAACUGUAGGGAUUGCAGAAAAUACUACCGGGCUUGAGGCCGGGGUAGGUGUAGGGUAUUUCGGGGGUAGCGGUGAAAUGCUAUAAUCCCUGGAGGACCACCAGUAGCGAAGGCGCUACACUGGAACGGGCCUGACGAUGAGGUACGAGAGCUAGGGGAGCGAACAGGAUUAGAUACCCUGGUAGUCCUAGCUGUAAACGAUGUGGGUUUAGUGUUCCCCGAACCUCGUGUUCGGGGAGUGCUGAAGGGAAACCGUUAAACCCACCACCUGGGGAGUACGGUCGCAAGGCUGAAACUUAAAGGAAUUGGCGGGGGAACACCACAAGGGGUGGAUGCUGCGGUUCAAUUGGAUACAACGCCGGGAAACUUACCAAGUGCGACGGCACAAUGAAGGCCAGGCUAAAGGUCUUGCCGGAGGAGCCGAGAGGUAGUGCAUGGCCGUCGUCAGCUCGUACCGUGAGGCGUACGGUUAAGUCCGUUAACGAGCGAGACCCGUGCCCC